rnacentral:rRNA from 1 species
GGGUUGUGAGGUUAAGCGACUAAGCGUACACGGUGGAUGCCCUGGCAGUCAGAGGCGAUGAAGGACGUGCUAAUCUGCGAUAAGCGUCGGUAAGGUGAUAUGAACCGUUAUAACCGGCGAUUUCCGAAUGGGGAAACCCAGUGUGAUUUGUCACACUAUUAUUAACUGAAUCCAUAGGUUAAUGAGGCGAACCGGGGGAACUGAAACAUCUAAGUACCCCGAGGAAAAGAAAUCAACCGAGAUUCCCCCAGUAGCGGCGAGCGAACGGGGAGGAGCCCAGAGCCUGAAUCAGUGUGUGUGUUAGUGGAAGCGUCUGGAAAGGCGCGCGAUACAGGGUGACAGCCCCGUACACAAAAAUGCACAUACUGUGAGCUCGAUGAGUAGGGCGGGACACGUGGUAUCCUGUCUGAAUAUGGGGGGACCAUCCUCCAAGGCUAAAUACUCCUGACUGACCGAUAGUGAACCAGUACCGUGAGGGAAAGGCGAAAAGAACCCCGGCGAGGGGAGUGAAAAAGAACCUGAAACCGUGUACGUACAAGCAGUGGGAGCCUCUUUUAUGGGGUGACUGCGUACCUUUUGUAUAAUGGGUCAGCGACUUAUAUUCUGUAGCAAGGUUAACCGAAUAGGGGAGCCGAAGGGAAACCGAGUCUUAACUGGGCGUUAAGUUGCAGGGUAUAGACCCGAAACCCGGUGAUCUAGCCAUGGGCAGGUUGAAGGUUGGGUAACACUAACUGGAGGACCGAACCGACUAAUGUUGAAAAAUUAGCGGAUGACUUGUGGCUGGGGGUGAAAGGCCAAUCAAACCGGGAGAUAGCUGGUUCUCCCCGAAAGCUAUUUAGGUAGCGCCUCGUGAAUUCAUCUCCGGGGGUAGAGCACUGUUUCGGCAAGGGGGUCAUCCCGACUUACCAACCCGAUGCAAACUGCGAAUACCGGAGAAUGUUAUCACGGGAGACACACGGCGGGUGCUAACGUCCGUCGUGAAGAGGGAAACAACCCAGACCGCCAGCUAAGGUCCCAAAGUCAUGGUUAAGUGGGAAACGAUGUGGGAAGGCCCAGACAGCCAGGAUGUUGGCUUAGAAGCAGCCAUCAUUUAAAGAAAGCGUAAUAGCUCACUGGUCGAGUCGGCCUGCGCGGAAGAUGUAACGGGGCUAAACCAUGCACCGAAGCUGCGGCAGCGACACUGUGUGUUGUUGGGUAGGGGAGCGUUCUGUAAGCCUGCGAAGGUGUGCUGUGAGGCAUGCUGGAGGUAUCAGAAGUGCGAAUGCUGACAUAAGUAACGAUAAAGCGGGUGAAAAGCCCGCUCGCCGGAAGACCAAGGGUUCCUGUCCAACGUUAAUCGGGGCAGGGUGAGUCGACCCCUAAGGCGAGGCCGAAAGGCGUAGUCGAUGGGAAACAGGUUAAUAUUCCUGUACUUGGUGUUACUGCGAAGGGGGGACGGAGAAGGCUAUGUUGGCCGGGCGACGGUUGUCCCGGUUUAAGCGUGUAGGCUGGUUUUCCAGGCAAAUCCGGAAAAUCAAGGCUGAGGCGUGAUGACGAGGCACUACGGUGCUGAAGCAACAAAUGCCCUGCUUCCAGGAAAAGCCUCUAAGCAUCAGGUAACAUCAAAUCGUACCCCAAACCGACACAGGUGGUCAGGUAGAGAAUACCAAGGCGCUUGAGAGAACUCGGGUGAAGGAACUAGGCAAAAUGGUGCCGUAACUUCGGGAGAAGGCACGCUGAUACGUAGGUGAAGUCCCUCGCGGAUGGAGCUGAAAUCAGUCGAAGAUACCAGCUGGCUGCAACUGUUUAUUAAAAACACAGCACUGUGCAAACACGAAAGUGGACGUAUACGGUGUGACGCCUGCCCGGUGCCGGAAGGUUAAUUGAUGGGGUCAGCGCAAGCGAAGCUCUUGAUCGAAGCCCCGGUAAACGGCGGCCGUAACUAUAACGGUCCUAAGGUAGCGAAAUUCCUUGUCGGGUAAGUUCCGACCUGCACGAAUGGCGUAAUGAUGGCCAGGCUGUCUCCACCCGAGACUCAGUGAAAUUGAACUCGCUGUGAAGAUGCAGUGUACCCGCGGCAAGACGGAAAGACCCCGUGAACCUUUACUAUAGCUUGACACUGAACAUUGAGCCUUGAUGUGUAGGAUAGGUGGGAGGCUUUGAAGUGUGGACGCCAGUCUGCAUGGAGCCGACCUUGAAAUACCACCCUUUAAUGUUUGAUGUUCUAACGUGGACCCGUGAUCCGGGUUGCGGACAGUGUCUGGUGGGUAGUUUGACUGGGGCGGUCUCCUCCUAAAGAGUAACGGAGGAGCACGAAGGUUGGCUAAUCCUGGUCGGACAUCAGGAGGUUAGUGCAAUGGCAUAAGCCAGCUUGACUGCGAGCGUGACGGCGCGAGCAGGUGCGAAAGCAGGUCAUAGUGAUCCGGUGGUUCUGAAUGGAAGGGCCAUCGCUCAACGGAUAAAAGGUACUCCGGGGAUAACAGGCUGAUACCGCCCAAGAGUUCAUAUCGACGGCGGUGUUUGGCACCUCGAUGUCGGCUCAUCACAUCCUGGGGCUGAAGUAGGUCCCAAGGGUAUGGCUGUUCGCCAUUUAAAGUGGUACGCGAGCUGGGUUUAGAACGUCGUGAGACAGUUCGGUCCCUAUCUGCCGUGGGCGCUGGAGAACUGAGGGGGGCUGCUCCUAGUACGAGAGGACCGGAGUGGACGCAUCACUGGUGUUCGGGUUGUCAUGCCAAUGGCACUGCCCGGUAGCUAAAUGCGGAAGAGAUAAGUGCUGAAAGCAUCUAAGCACGAAACUUGCCCCGAGAUGAGUUCUCCCUGACUCCUUGAGAGUCCUGAAGGAACGUUGAAGACGACGACGUUGAUAGGCCGGGUGUGUAAGCGCAGCGAUGCGUUGAGCUAACCGGUACUAAUGAACCGUGAGGCUUAACCUUACAACGCCGAAG